GAAAUGCGAUAAGUAAUGUGAAUUGCAGAAUUCAGUGAAUCAUCGAAUCUUUGAACGCACCUUGCGCUCCUUGGUAUUCCGAGGAGCAUGCCUGUUUGAGUGUCAUGGAAUUCUCAACUCUAUUUGCUUUUGUGAAUAGAGCUUGGAUUUGGAGGUUUAUUGCUGGUACUUGUGAUCGGCUCCUCUUGAAUGCAUUAGCUCGAACCUUUGCGGUUCAGCUAUCGGUGUGAUAAUUGUCUACGCCGUUGCAGUGAAGCAUAUCAAUGGGCUCGGCUUCCAAUCGUCCUUUACUGGACAAUGACUUUGACCUUUGACCUCAAAUCAGGUAGGAUUACCCGCUGAACUUAAGC
rnacentral:misc_RNA from 1 species